rnacentral:rRNA from 1 species
AACGAACGCUGGCGGCGUGCUUAACACAUGCAAGUCGAACGCGAAAGGGACUUCGGUCCUGAGUAAAGUGGCGCACGGGUGAGUAACGCGUAGAUAACCUGUCUUCGAGUCUGGAAUAAUACACCGAAAGGGGUACUAAUACCGGAUAUUCUUUCACUUCAUAAGGAGUGCAAGCAAAGGUGGCCUCUGUAUAUGCUACUGCUUGAAGAGGGGUCUGCGUACCAUUAGCUAGUAGGUAGGGUAAAGGCCUACCAAGGCAAUGACGGGUAGGGGCGUGAGAGCGUGACCCCCCAACUGGUACUGACACACGGACCAGAUGCCUACGGGUAGCAGCAGCUAGGAAUAUUGGGCAAUGGGCGAAAGCCUGACCCAGCAACACCGCGUGAAGGACGACGGCCUUCGGUUGUAAACUUCUUUUCGAGGGAAUGAGAAGGACAGUACCCUCGGAAUAAGGCCCGGCUAACUACGUGCCAGCAGCCGCGGUAAGCUAGUCUACG